GACGUAGGGCGCGAGCGUUGUCCGGAUUUAUUGGGCGUAAAGAGCUCGUAGGCGGUUUGGUGAGUCGGGUGUGAAAUCUCCACGCUCAACGUGGAGGGGCCACCCGAUACUGCCAUGACUAGAGUCCGGUAGGGGAGUGUGGAAUUCCCGGUGUAGCGGUGAAAUGCGCAGAUAUCGGGAGGAACACCAGUAGCAAAGGCGACACUCUGGGCCGGUACUGACGCUGAGGAGCGAAAGCGUGGGAAGCAAACAGG
rnacentral:rRNA from 1 species